AAUUAUUUUAAAAAUAUGGGGAUGAUCCUGAGGUUGUGUAGGUCACUGUGGUAUAUUCAUAUACCCAAUUUGAGCAUCGUGGAACUUUUAACGAGGACGAGCACAUCCAGGGGCGUCAAGGGGGUUACGACCCGGCGACAUACCAGUUCUAGUUGAUAGUUGAGGCGUUGGUGGCCUACGAGGACUGCUUCGGCGUUCUGACAGACUAAAUAAAUGUAGGAUUCACCCGAGGGUGUUGUAAAAUAGUUAUGGUCCUACUUGACUGCACCUAGACGCUUAUGCUCUGUUUAUGUGUGUUUAGUACACUCUUAUGCACAUAGAAUGCUAGGUUGUAAAUAACUGCAAUUAGUGGUUUUCGUUGACUCGUAUUUUAUUAUUAAAUCGUUUCCGCUUGCGUUAUGGUUACGUCACGCUCACGUGACGGCCAGCAUGUCCUAGUCUUCGGGUUAGGGUGUGUC
rnacentral:sRNA from 1 species